rnacentral:lncRNA from 1 species
AGUUAGUAAAAGAGAAUGUUAAUCAAAGACGAACCGGUAACACCGAAGAAGCAAUAGCCAUUUCAUUACAACCCUGUUUUCCAGCACCUAUCACUUCACUACCUCAGUUCUGUUCCAGGAAUUGGUGUAUCUUCACUUAGAAGAUUGUCGUUACCAGGUGAUGCAAGUAGGCCCUUGCAGAAAACUGCUACUGAGUUGCAAGGCUGUUGUCACUUGUUGAAAAUGGUAGAAUAGGAAGCGAAGUGAAAUCAUUUGAUGACAGCUUCCAGGCACUAAGACCUCUCAAAUCUGUUCCUGCCAUUUCAUCGGAUAAAACAGGAUUAGCAUUUACUAGAGUCAAAUCUCAAGCCUUGAUAUCUCCAAAGUCACGUCCCGCCUCACCUAGUAGGACCACAACGGUAUCUCCUUCUAUUUCAAGAGGCGUCAGUCCAUCUCGAUCAAGGCCAGCAUUCACCUUCCUGUCGAUCAUCGUCUNN